rnacentral:tRNA from 1 species
AAAAAUUUAGUUAAAAUAAUAACGUUGACUUGUCGAGCCAAAAUCGCUUUGUAGGCAAUUUUUA